rnacentral:rRNA from 1 species
GAUGAGCGCUAGCGAUAGGCCUAACACAUGCAAGUCGAGGGGCAGCAUAGAGUAGCAAUACUUUGAUGGCGACCGGCGCACGGGUGAGUAACACGUAUGCAACCUACCUACAUCAGGGGAAUAACCCGGAGAAAUUCGGACUAAUACCGCAUAAUACAGGGAUGCCGCAUGGCAAUAUUUGUUAAAGAUUUAUCGGAUGUAGAUGGGCAUGCGUUCCAUUAGCUUGUUGGUGAGGUAACGGCUCACCAAGGCAACGACGGAUAGGGGAACUGAGAGGUUUGUCCCCCACACUGGAACUGAGACACGGACUAGACUCCUACGGGAGGCAGCAGUGAGGAAUAUUGGUCAAUGGAAGAGAGUCUGAACCAGCCAAAUCGCGUGAAGGAAGACUGCCCUACGGGUUGUAAACUUCUUUUGUACAGGAAUAAAAGACAUUACGUGUAAUGUAUUGCAUGUACUGUACGAAUAAGCAUCGGCUAACUCCGUGCCAGCAGCCGCCGUAA